GAUGAUAUCUCCUCCACAUGACCCGAAGAGUCAGCUGUUACACGACACUCAGUUGCUGAUGCUUUUGGAUUUGUGUCCUCUGUUCCUUCACAUUCUUGCUCAUGAUUCUUCAAAGAUGGGGCAUCUUCUGGUAGUUUCUUUUCAGAGGACAAUUCAUCAUCUCCCAUGAAAACAUUUUCUUGAUCAAAAUUUUUGCGUCUGUCUUUUUGCAGUUUCACUUGUUUAUCGCUUUUGCUAACACUUUCCUGCCCUGACAUAUCAGUAGAUGAAGUCGCACAAUGAAAACCUCCAGCAUCCUCAGAUUUUCCUUUUAAAUGAAAAUCUGGAGACAAACUUGGGCUCGUUGGCCAGGAAUCAACAUUAGGGAAUGCAGCUGAGCAGUCAAAUGCCAACUUUUGAGAGUCUGCACG
rnacentral:lncRNA from 1 species